AGAGGAUAUAUACACAUUGCAGACUAACACAUCUGUGGAAGCCAUGCUCAGGAAUGAUAAGAACACAUAAAACACUCGAGUCUUCAUAUACCAUAAGUUAUGACUUCUGAUUAUUUAAAAUCAUGAGAAGAUAACUGGAUAAAGGUUCAGAGUGACUUUACAAUAAGAUUGCAGAUCAUCUGAUAAGAGAACUGUGAGAGAUUUACAGCCACCUUGCUAAAAUUUUUCUGCCCAUUCAGUUAAGAUUUUUUUUAGUUGUCAAGCAAACCUACAUUCCUCCUCCUUUUUAUUGUUGCCAUUAUGAUAAAGACAGCCGGAGACAAACUGAAGUGGCCAUCUGGUUGAUGUGCCUACAAAAGGAGUGGUUUGCCAGACAAAGAAAGUACCUUUUAUUAGACAAAGCAAUGCAUCUUCUCUUACCAGAUUUCCCAUUCUUUUGACUCUGAUGGAGCUGCAGGUCCAUGACGUGGAGUCCCUGUUUGGAAUAUGACAAAAGAACAUUCAAGGACAAAAGCACUUCUGGCCCUAAAUUUCCCUUCACUUCAUUCAAUUAUCUAUACACCUAUCCUUUUUCCCUUCUCAUAAUAUAUGACACCAAAUUUCUAUGCACUAAGUGAAAUUUCACUCUAUCAGGCAAAGACACGUAGCUUUCUGAGCCAUGCAGUGGCAUAUUUCCAUUGGCCUGACAUUCUCUCAUUUUGAUCUAGUGGAUAUUUUUACUGAAGUCUGCCGCUCAUUAUGUGACAUGCAUUAUGUCAUACACUAAACAAAAACUGAAACUAUUCAUUAUACCAAAAAUAAUCUCUGAAAGCGAUUUCACAUUCGUCUUCCCACAUCUGAACCAGUCCAGGCCUUUCCUCUGCCAAGAGACAGAGUCUUUGUCCCAGCCCUGUACAAAUCACAGUAGGAGAAAAUAAAUUCCAGAACAAGGGUUCUCUAAAGUGCAGCUGCAGACUGAGGCUUGUCAACAAAAAUACCCAACCUGACUUAGCUUUCAUUACAAAAGGAGCAAAGCAGACUUCGCUGCUAUGCCCUUGGGUGUUACAGAUCAGAGUGAGAAACAAAUAGCAAAUAAGGAGGAGACAGUCCCAAGAAAGGAAACUACUAAAGUUUAGGUACCACUUACAGAGACCCCCGUUCAGUGUUAUUGGUGGCAAGUCUGUUAAUUUUUCAGAAUACCUUGGUUUCAAAACCUUACUGUCAAAUGCAUUAGUAUCUAUCUCACUACACAGACUGGUUGCAAUAAUAACAAUGUCAAAUAUUCAGGCGUUUUGACAACAAGGUUCAUACAAGAUCCUCAAGCUUAUAGUAUUAUUGGGUUUAUGUGAGUAUUUUACACUGCUUUAUAUUAACACUGUCUCGGAAACUGCACCAGUGAAAAUGUCCAUGCAUUGCUCAGAGACAUUUCCCCAAGGAUGAGCUGGACAGCAGAACAACACAGACAACUGUGAAAGGCUCAGAUCUGGGAGAAAUUGCUCAUAGACCUGGUCUGCUGCAGAUAAAGACGCUCUUGGCCCCUGUUACAUUACAGUAAAAUUCAGUGCAGGAUCGUGAAGUAUCCAAUCUUUAAUUCAAACUCAAAAAUCAAUAGAGAGAGCAGAAACCAUCAGGAGUUUAGCUCUAAAACUCCUUUCUCUUUCUCCUAGCUGUGCCUCUAUGUUACUCGGAUCAAACUUUUGCCAUUUCUUUUUUAUCCAAAUCCCAGAGUCACAAAAUACCAUUCUGCCUGGUGAAAAUGAUGAGCUUAGACUAGGCCAUUUCUGUCCCACACUUUUGGUGUCCUUGUGUACUGGUGAAACAGAGAAUAGCUCUUCUCUCAUGCAUAUCAAAGUCACAUUUGUAGAGAGGGAAAGGGAUAGCUAAUACAAAGGCAGCAUAUUUAUUUAUUUAUUUUACAGACAUAAAAUGUGUAACCCGCUAAAAUCAGCUGAAUGUGUAAAAUCAGUCAGAUGGAACAGGAAGAUGGAGUUUAAAAUGUAACCCAUUCUCCCCAUCCCACCAAAAAAUAAAAAAAUUAAUUGCCUUCAAUAUUGUUCUGUUGUACAGGGAUAUAAGUGCCAAGGGCCUAUUCAGAACCAGUGAAGUCAAUAAAAAGACUCACUGCCAUUAACAGACUUUGAACCAGGCCAAAAGGUUCUCUAGGAUAUCUCAGGAGUAACGAGGAUAAAAAUGAGUAGCUGGAAAGGCUAAGGGCGACAGGGACUUUUUAAAAUGUGGCGGUAGAAAACCAAACAUGCAAGUAAGCAAACAGAGAAAGACAGUGACCAUCUGCCACCCGGAGUGAGGACGCAGCCGUCAAUGCACUUCUGUUCCCAACGCAGACCCACAGUGGUCUCCUGGAAGAUCUCAGGGCAAGACCUGCGGGCCGGAGGAAAGCCACUCUUCUCUUGCUCCAUCACCUUCAGAAGUGCCUCUUUCCUGAAGCCUGGGUGUCAGGGAGAUACGAUUCAGACAGAGACCAACACCUUCAGAAAUGCUAAGGAAACUUGUUAAGGCUACCAGCCCAGAAAUGGAAAAAAGACUGAAAGUGAAAAAAAUGCUCUAAGAAAGAGGACUUUGGGGCUUUUGUUAAGCAGUGGGUGAUAGAUUAAGAUAACAUCAGUGAUGCUGAUUUUUAUCUUGCUCUGUUUCCUUACAUGUAAAAACAGGAUUCAUAUCAAUAUUGUCUAUGAUUUCUCUUUUAUAAUUGUUGGUUGAAAUACUACAGUUAAGACAUAACUUCUACAACGGAAAAAACUCAGUUUCAUUGUGCUGAGAUUCCUACCCACUUUUCCCUGUAUUCGAAAUGUAUGGAAGAGAAGUGCAUGUUUUCAUAUAAAAAUACUAGAUUUCUCCACAGGUAGAAACAGGUUUAAAUGCUGGCUUUGGCAGCUCUCGUAGAUGACAGUGAAUCUGUUUCCUUCUACUUACUAGCUUACAGCUUACUACAUCAAAUAGUAUCUUUUAAUUUUGUCACAAAGCCAGCUUUUAAAAUUUCACAGCAUUCCUCCCCACACUUUAUAUUUCAGAUUCUGGAUGCUGUGGAAUGAAAAGGAAAAAAAUGAACUACUCCCCACAAACUAAACCAAGUUUUCAAAUAUAAAAUUAAAUAAGGAAAAACAUACACAUUUGUUUACUGUAUACUAAUAUCACAGACAUAUAACAGGAUAUUUUAUUAGUCAUUUUGUAGUUUUGCGUAGGCUAUUAGCUAAUGUUGGUGUUUUAUAUACAUUUUGUGAAUUUGCAUUUCCACUAGAAACUAUAAGAUCUCUAAGUGGUACUUACAAGUGCAAUAUUACAAAAAUCCUUGUGAUAACUAGCAAUUUUUUCUGCCUCUUUUGUGUUGGUGUGUCCAUCCCUAGUAUCCCUUCCCAAAUUAGGCUAGCAUGUGGCUAUCAUGUAUCCCCUCUGUGGAUAGAAUUAUAUAUUGUGUUCAAAACCUCUGAUUAAUCUGAUUAAGCUAGUGAGUGACUAAUCCUUUAAUCUCCUCAAGAGCACUGUUACGUCUGCUGUGUGUCAGAUUUGUAACUAGUAAUCAGUUAAGUAAAUGCUAAAAGUUAAGGAAAAACUGUUUCGGACCUUUUUUAGAGUCUGUUUUUGGUGAGUGACUUUUGCAGCUAAAACUACACGGAGAACACGAUUGAAAAUAAGAAACUGUCUGUGGUGGCAGUUCUGCCACUGUGAGCAUAUCAGUCAUGAAGGACCAACUUUCUAUUGCUACCUCCUUCUUAAGAGAUUUAUUAUAAAUAAACAUGUAGUUUCCCCUUUA